UACGUAGGGUGCGAGCGUUACUCGGAAUUACUGGGCGUAAAGGGUGCGCAGGCGGUUCUGCAAGUCAGGCGUGAAAGCCCCGGGCUUAACCUGGGAAUGGCGCUUGAAACUACAGGACUGGAGUAUGGCAGAGGGAGGUGGAAUUCCACGUGUAGCGGUGAAAUGCGUAGAGAUGUGGAGGAACACCGAUGGCGAAGGCAGCCUCCUGGGCCAAUACUGACGCUCAUGCACGAAAGCGUGGGGAGCAAACAGG
rnacentral:rRNA from 1 species